GGGAGGCGGCCCUAGCGCCAUUUUGUGGGCACGAAGCGGUAGCUCGGCUGAGAUCGGGUCCCUCGUUGUCGCUGUUUCCUCGUCGUGCUUUCUGGUCGCGGCCUAGCGAAAAUUCGGCAAAGAUGUCUGAAUACAUCCGGGUAACAGAAGAUGAGAACGAUGAGCCCAUUGAGAUACCAUCAGAAGACGAUGGUACAGUGUUGUUGUCCACAGUUACAGCCCAGUUUCCAGGGGCCUGCGGCCUGCGCUACCGGAAUCCCGUGUCUCAGUGUAUGCGGGGUGUUCGGCUGGUGGAAGGAAUCCUGCAUGCCCCGGAUGCCGGCUGGGGAAAUCUGGUGUAUGUUGUCAACUAUCCUAAAGAUAACAAAAGAAAAAUGGAUGAGACAGAUGCUUCCUCGGCAGUGAAGGUGAAAAGAGCAGUCCAGAAAACAUCUGAUCUAAUAGUGUUGGGUCUCCCCUGGAAAACAACAGAACAAGAUCUUAAAGACUAUUUCAGCACUUUUGGAGAGGUUCUUAUGGUUCAGGUCAAGAAAGAUCUUAAAACUGGUCACUCAAAAGGGUUUGGCUUUGUUCGGUUUACGGAAUAUGAAACCCAAGUGAAAGUAAUGUCACAACGACAUAUGAUAGAUGGACGAUGGUGUGACUGUAAACUUCCGAAUUCUAAGCAAAGCCCAGAUGAACCUUUGAGAAGCAGAAAGGUGUUUGUUGGGCGUUGUACAGAGGAUAUGACUGCUGAAGAGCUUCAACAAUUCUUCUGUCAGUAUGGAGAAGUAGUAGAUGUCUUCAUUCCCAAACCAUUCAGGGCUUUUGCCUUUGUUACCUUUGCAGAUGAUAAGGUUGCCCAGUCUCUUUGUGGAGAGGAUUUGAUCAUUAAAGGAAUCAGCGUGCAUAUAUCCAAUGCUGAACCUAAGCAUAAUAGCAAUAGACAGUUAGAAAGAAGUGGAAGAUUUGGUGGUAAUCCAGGUGGCUUUGGGAAUCAGGGUGGGUUUGGUAACAGUAGAGGGGGUGGAGCUGGCUUGGGAAAUAACCAGGGUGGCAAUAUGGGUGGAGGAAUGAACUUCGGAGCUUUUAGCAUUAAUCCAGCGAUGAUGGCUGCAGCUCAGGCAGCAUUGCAGAGCAGUUGGGGUAUGAUGGGCAUGUUAGCCAGCCAGCAGAACCAGUCAGGUCCAUCUGGUAAUAACCAAAGCCAGGGCAGCAUGCAAAGGGAGCCAAAUCAGACAUUUGGUUCAGGGAAUAAUUCCUAUAGUGGUUCUAAUUCUGGUGCCCCUCUUGGUUGGGGGUCAGCAUCAAAUGCAGGGUCAGGCAGUGGUUUUAAUGGCGGCUUUGGCUCAAGCAUGGAUUCUAAAUCCUCUGGCUGGGGAAUGUAGGCAGUGCGGGGGGGGGGGGGAGGGUUGGUAGGUAGGUAGGUAUAGAAUGGUGGGAUUCAAAUUUUUCUAAACUCAUGGUAAGUAUAUUGUAAAAUACAUAUGUACUAAAAAUUUUCAGAUUGGUUUGUUCAGUGUGGAGUAUAUUCAGCAGUAUUUUUGACAUUUUUCUUUAGAAAAAGAGGAAAAGCUAAAUGAAUUUUAUAAGUUUUGUUAUAUAAAGGGUUAAAAUACUGAGUGGGUGAAAGUGAACUGCUGUUUGCCUAAUUGGUAAACCAACACUACAGUUGAUCUCAGAAGGUUUCUCUGUAAUGUUCUGUCAUUGGACUUGUUAAAUGGAUUCUUUGCAUGUUCAGAAUAGAAACCAUUGGUUAGAACUACAUUCUUUUCUCAUUUUAAUUUGAAUCCCACCCUAUGAAUUUUUUCCUUAGGAAUAUCUCCAUUUGGGAGAUCAUGAUGUCAUGGUGUUUGGUUCUUUUGGUUUUGUUUUUAACACUUGUCUUCCUUCAUAUACGAAAGUACAAUAUGAAGCCUUCAUUUAAUCUCUGCAGUUCAUCUCAUUUCAAAUGUUUAUGGAAGAAGCACUUCAUUGAAAGUAGUGCUGUAAAUAUUCUGCCAUAGGAAUACUUCUGUCUACAUGCUUUCUCAUCCAAGAAUUCGUCAUCACGCUGCACAGGCUGCGUCUUUGACGCCCUGAAUGCAAAGAAUUCAUAGCAGUUAAUUCCCCUUUUUGACCCUUUUGAGAUGGAACUUUCAUAAAGUUUCUUGGCAGUAGUUUAUUUUGCUUCAAAUAAACUUAUUUGAAAAGUUGUCUCAAGUCAAAUGGAUUCAUCACCUGUCAUGCAUUGACACCUGAUACCCAGACUUAAUUGCUAUUUGUUCUUGCAUUGUCCAAAGUGAAAGUUUUUCCAUGGGUUAUUCUGUUUUUUUUUUAUCUAGUUUUUCAUAAGUCUGGGUGACAGAACCUAAAAUGGUAAGCAGUUACCCUCCAGCUUGUUCUGAGUGCCUCUGUGCAUUUGAGUGAUUUUUCUAUUGACAUGGCUGUAUAAGUCUCCGUUGGGAACUCAUGCCUUCUAAAAAAAUACUAUUUGGGAGGGAGCAAAACAGUUGUUUCCAAAUGCUUUGUAGCAGAGCAUAUCAGUGGGAAAGAAGGGAUGAUAAACAUUCUGGGGGAUUUGAAAAGUGGAAUUAAUUGCAAUAGGGAUGAAGUAGAAGAAACCAUGUGCCUGAAAUCCAUUCAGAAGCCUGAUAGCUUUAAGAACUAGUAGGGUGGGUUUGUCUGUCUAUCUGUGGCAGUCUUUAAGUGAGGUGGGCUUGUCCCCUCUGGGGUGUAGGGGCAUGUAGUGACUGCUCACAAAAUCAGAUUAGACUCUCACAAUGCAUUGUUAAGAAUGUAAAAGCAAUAAUACCUUGAUUGUUGUACUUCCCUGUAACUACUGAGAACUGGGGAACUCCUUUUCUAACUGGAAAGAUGUGACCAUUUUUGUUGGUAGUUUCCCCACUGCCCUUACCUAAAUUAGAUGAUGAUAAAUAGGCUUGUCAUUUUGCAAGUUGCGUGUUUUGAAAUUUUAUAUCCUCUAGACUUGUGAACACAGUGUUUCAUUAUUAAGUAUCCUCUGUAAAAGGAUCUUGAGUUAUUGUAAAUUUUUUUCUCUGCAUCUAAAUCUGCAUGAUUUCCAAACCCUGUACAUCUGAAUUUUGCAUUUUAGCACUUGCACUAUUACUCAGCAGCAGUAACAUGGUAACAUUAAAAUGGUUUUCGGGGAGCUCCAAAGACUAAACUGGCAAGCCGUCCAGGAGUCCUGGGGUAAGUUACUUGUCGAUGGCAUGGUUUUGAUCCCUUGUUUGCACCUGUUAAAGAGUUACUGGUCAUCUAGAAGGCUUUCAAUGUUGAGUAGCCUUUUAAUAUGUUUAUGGUAUGAUGUAGCUGUAGAUAGUUAUUUGCCCUACAUGAAGUUUUAGAAAUAAACUACUUGGCAAAAAUUUGGUUUUGAACAUCUAUUUGGUUAUCAAAAUGCAUUCAUUCUUAAAAAACAGUCUUUGAACCGCAAUUGAAUAAAAAGUUUUAUUGCCACCAACAGUUUAGUGUCUGGAGUCUUACUGGAAAAAAACAUUUUUCAUGACAAAAAUGCCAGAAAGUUGUAACAGUGACUUCUGAGGGAAGGUGCAAUAUAGCAUUUUCAUCCAUUAAAAAAUGUGAGUCUCCAGCUGGGUGUGGUGGCACAUGUAUUUAAUCCCAGAAGUUGAGGCAUACACAUCUGAGUUGCAGGCCAGCUGUUGCUCCAUAGUGAUACUGUCCCAGAACUUGUUGGAAGAGACAAGUACAAUCAAAUGUGACACUUUAAGAUUAAGGCAGCAUCUUAGCAGGAGAGUAGCGGUUGCUUUGUGAGUUACCAUCGUUUCUGUUACAUAAGAGAAUAAAUUCACUGUGCAGUUUGCUGCUGCUGUGCCAUCUGUGAUCUGUUUGGCUCACCUGUGCCCAAGUCAUGCUCACUUAAGAACAGUCCGGGUAUAGUGGCAUACACUUUAAUACCCAGCACUUGUGAGGCUGAAGCAGAAUGAUAAAUUUGAGGUCGGCCUGGGCUACGCAGGCUGUCUCAAAAGGAGGUUAGGGUGUGGCAAGAUUCAGAAUGUUAUCUUAAUUGGCUUACCAAGCCAGCACACCCAAAGCCCAGGUUUAAUUGUCAGCACCAGAUAAAGUGAGGUGUGGUGGCACACCUUUAAUCCCUAAGCAUUAGGCUGGUAGGAGCAAAAGAAAGGUUGGGUUGUCUGCUACAUUACAGAGUUUUAAGGCCAGCCUACAGCAUGAACUCAUUGAUUAUGAAAAUCAACAGCAAGCCUUUAGUUGCUCAGAAAUGGAAACAGACAAUAGAUUGUAGAGAAUUGAAUACAACUUGACAUGGUAGGUUUGUGUGCAGGGUUGGUAAAAAAUAAACACCAUUGUAUUGAACACCGUGAGUCGACAAAGUUGACAUUGGCAAGUGCCUGUAACAGUUUAAUCCAGUUUAGUUUAGGGUGGGCCAUUGAUGAUUCUUGGGUUCUGUUACUGCUAAGAGCCUUUCCAGGUACUUGUAAGAAUAAUUCACAAUUCACAUUUGGAGGCAUGCAAGUUAAAAGUUACUCAUUAUGUUCUCAAUCCAGGAAAUAUAGUUUAUGACUUUGGUGUAGACCCCAUACUGAUCUGCCUCCCCACAAUUAAUGGAACCCCAGGAAACUAUACCUCCCACAAACCAUCGCUGUGUUUCAUUAUCUAGAAACACUAAUGCCCCUCCACUGUCACCUCUGCAACUGUCCUUGCCACCAGUUUGUAAGCCAGCACAGAUCAUGUUAGCAGUUACUCUUCCUCCUGGGUAGAGCUUCUUUGCAUAUGCAGAAGUACACUUUUGGUGGUCGACAAUUGGUAUGUCCACAAACAUUAGGUUUCUAGCAAGAAACCCCUUCUGGGUUAAGCCCCAGCCAGCCACAGUUCCAAUGGUAUCUGUCCUCAUUAAGGAUGCAGCUUCUUUUCUUGGCAGGCAAACAGGCAUGACACUUCCAUUGAUGGUGACUUUGUUCUUGAGUUUAAUCAGUGCUAUGUCAUUGUCAAAACCAGCAUCGUGAUUGUAACCUUCGUGUAUAAAGACAGCCUCGGGCCAGGCUUGGGUGUAAUGAGGUGAGAGCCUUUUGAGGAUACCCAUGCGAAUGUCCAGGGAGGACACAUCCUUUGUUACCCCAUACACAGCAUGAGCAGCUGUUAGGACCCAGUUGUCGUGUAAAAGAGCCCCUGCUGCUAUGGUCUCACCCAGUAGUAAGACUUGCCAAGGAAAGUCACCAGUCUUUGCGUGCUGCCCUCCAAAUAUGCGGCCUCCUGUAGAGAGUGUCGACAGCCCACAGACUGAGGAAAGAACAAAAGCAAGUUGAGUGUCAACAGUUCUAUCCCAUGGAUUGAUGGAUAGGUAGGCAUCCUCUGUUAGGCAAGUGAGGCUGUACUAGUUUUACUUGAUAAGUCCUUAUCUAGUUGCUUAGCUCCUCAAGAUCAGAUUUCACAGAUUCUUGUGUUUUGCUUUAUGAAAACAGAUGAGGGAAGCUGUAGACAAUAUGGACAGGAGUUGUGUGAACAAAGACAUGAGCACCACAUACAGGCGAAAGGUCAGGACUCUGCAUUGCUUGCUUUACCUCUGAGUUCAUUAGGAAUUCUGGGAAGGCAGGAAUUAAGAUUAUGGUUUGUAAAAAUCUAGUAAAUCAUAAUGUAGCAGCAAUGGCCAAGAUGCUUCUGGCUCUAAAAUUUGUGUUUCUGGUCUGGUUGAAUCAUCAAAACAUUAAGUUUACAGUGUCUCUGUUGCAAGCUAAUUACUCAGGAAUGCAGCACGUGUUUCUUAUUGUGGUCUUGUACUUUGAUUAAAACUUGGAAGCAGCAUGUGAACCAAAUACAGGGUUAGAAAACUAAUUUAAACCAGCUAACAUGGGGGUAAUGAGUGUAUUAUUACCUUUAAAUUUUUUUAAAGCAUUCUCAACUAUUAUUGUUGGAGCCAAUUCUGGUUUUAAACAAAAUUAAAUACUAUUAAAAGGCAAAUUGCAUUAAUGUUGAAAAACGUAGAUGUUGUUGAAAACAAUUGCUUAGGGAAAUAAUGAAGUUAUUAGCUUUGGGUUUUAAUAGCACUUUUACAGAGAAGAAAAGUAACUCAGCAAGAAUUCGUGUUUAUAAGUGUAUAAAUCGUUUUAGAUAAUUUAAAAAAUCAUUUAAUUUUUUACGCUUGCCUAAUCAUAAGGUCAAAAAUAGUCAAAUGAGUGAUGCACCUAGCAGCCUCUGUGUGCAAAGGGGUAAUGAGAACACGCUUGGGAGUUAUGUUGGCCUAAGCCAGCCUCUGAGCUCCCUGUCUGCCUGUUAUCCCCCAUCUACUCUGUGUCAGCUGUGAAUCUCUUUUAUAAAUGCGUCCAUUACCAGGCUUGCAAACCGGGAGGAAUUUUUCUCCUUUGGAGCUCGUCCAGAAUCCAUCAGCUUCACACACAUAUUUACCUGCAAAUCGUUGGAAAAGCAAAAAUGUUUAACUGUGGUUGUCAUUUGCUUGAAUAACCCCUUGAAAAAUGUUGAUUCUUGAGCAUCCAUGGUGGGGAGAGGUGUGUGAAUAACCAUUUUACAUGAUUUCAUAAAUAGCUGUCUGCAUUACCAUGUUUGCUUGCAAAGUGGAAACCUUUUAGAUGUGUAACUUGAAUAUGUAUCAAGAUCUCAAGUGCUUAAUGAUAAGGUUUUUGACUUGUUAAAUUAAACCAUUUGGAAUAUA